rnacentral:rRNA from 1 species
UACGUAGGGUGCAAGCGUUGUCCGGAAUUAUUGGGCGUAAAGGGCUCGUAGGCGGUUUGUCGCGUCGGGAGUGAAAACACGGGGCUUAACCCCGUGCCUGCUUCCGAUACGGGCAGACUAGAGGUAUGCAGGGGAGAACGGAAUUCCUGGUGUAGCGGUGAAAUGCGCAGAUAUCAGGAGGAACACCGGUGGCGAAGGCAGGUCUCUGGGCCACUACUGACGCUGAGAAGCGAAAGCAUGGGGAGCGAACAGG